UGGUGUCUGAUCCAAAUGUGUUUAUUUACAAUGACAGAAAAAGAGACAAACCAUAAAUAAGGAUGUACAGUGAUGGGGGUCCAACACAAACAACAACAAUGUUUCAGCUAAUUUGAUUGGCUACCACCAUACUUACUUCAAAGACCAGCAGUGCAACAUAAUAUUAUAGUUUAUAAAAACUGCUAAAAUAUAUAUACACACUUUUUACACAUAAAAACUUGCUGUGAGCAAUUUUAAACGCUGGGGUUCACAAUGUCCUUUUUUUCCGCUGGAAACCAGAUCACAGAUACACAAACACAGAGGUCCAGCCACGGUGUCACCACAAAGACGCACACCGUUCCCAUCUCUAGGUAACAUGAGACAACUAGUGUAUCUACCUCCGCUGUUCUGUGUAUAGGAUAAGCAGAAUGUCUCCCCAGGACACGUGUGGAGUGGAAUUCUUUCCCUUCUUGAGUUCCAACAUAGCAUGCGGGUCACAUACAGACACUGUACAAAUCAUUGGGGGCUCAUGAAGAAGAGUUUGUGCUGUCUUGAUACAAGCAAGGUGUCUCGAGGCCAGGCCUGAGACAGAACUUCUCUCUCUCUCUUGGUAAAGCGGCAGGAUCCCAGUCUAAGCUCACGGAGAACACACGACAAAUCAUUCAUCGAAGAACAGUCAAUAGGUCCUUGGAUCCCACAGCCUGGAGAGGAGAACAGGCAGAAUUAAACUCUCUGCAAUGAACCAAACACAGCCAAGAGCAGGGUCCAGAUUAUUAGAACAGAAAAACAACAACAACAACAACAUUUAAUAAAAAGUAAUAGAAUUGCUCACAAACAAAAAUAGCUGACUUCUAACAACAAAGAAGAAAUCU